GUGUAGAAUGUGUAUAUAUAUAGAGCAUUGUAAUUGCUCUCUUCUUCCUCAAGACUUCUGAAUAAGAUCAAUACUUCUUCUCUUCUCUCAUUUAGUUCAUUCAUAGUGUAUCUGAUUUUAUGCACUAAUGAAUUGAAGAAGUAGCAUUACUGUAUGUGAAAAUUCACAUGUUAUCAGAGCACAAAUCAUAAUUGUGAGUUUAUGUUAUCCUGUUUGAAGAACAACAAUGGGGACAGUCAAGUUCGAUCAUCAUCACACCCUAUUUCUACAUCCUUCUAAUAAUACUGGAGCUUCGAUUAUACCAAUGCAGUUAACAGGAUCUGAAAAUUACUCUAUGUGGAGUAGGGCCAUGCGUAUUCAAUUGCUUGGAAAGAACAAGCUUGGAAUUGUGGAUGGCACCUGAAAGAGGGAGGAUUUUGGAACUGAAUUAGAACAUCAAUGGGAUAGAUGCAAUGCAGUCGUCCAAGGAUGGAUCAUGAGCUCAGUAACAUCAGAAUUGCACAUAGAAAUUGUGUAUGCAACAAGUGCUAAAAGUAAAUGUUUCACGAAUCUAUCAAUUACAUAAAGAUAUAGCUAGUCUUAUACAAGGAAAUGAUAGUAUUCCUGUGUAUUUUUCAAAACUGAGGAAUUUUUGGGAUGAGUUUGCUAGCAUAGUACCACCACCAUAUGAUUGCCCUAGAUCUAAAGAGUUUUGUGCUCAUAUGCAUAGACAAAAGUUACUGCAAUUCCUGAUAGGUUUGAAUGAAACAUAUGAUCAAUCUCGGAGCCAAAUUUUGAUGAGUAAACCAACUCCUAGUUUAAACAAGGCUUAUGCUACGCUUGUUGAGAGGAAAAGCCAACAAACCGUAGCUAGUUCAUCUAUGAGUGGUGAAGGAACAGAUCUAACAGCACUGAUGGCCAAAAUAGGUGAAAAUUAUCAACAUAAUAAGUGGGAAAAUCAUCAAUAUCAGAAAAGGAAGAAGAACUGGGAUCAGUAAUGUGACUUUUGCAAGUUGAAAGGGCAUGUGAAGAGAGACUGGUAUAGAUUGAAUGGAUAACCAGCUGACUGAAAAUUCAAGAAGAAAGACAAUAUGAACACUGCUAACAAUGUGCAUGUUAAGAAUGCACACUCAAAUGUACUAACAGGGAUCAAAGACAAGAAAGAUAUGUUGAAUAAACUGACAGCAGGAGAACUUCCAAGAGCACCUCUUAUGACAGGUGAACAAUAUGAUCAUAUCUUGGGAAUGAUCAACAAGGAUACUUCACAGCAUGGUGUAAUGACUAGCAUAGCAGGACCUUUCAACUGAAAAAUUGAAGGGGAUUGAUAAGCAACAUGAUGGGCUUUAUCAGUUAAUUCCACCAUAUCCACAUAAGGAUGGGAACACACAAUGUACAGAUGCAAAGGGAUUCACAACACAUAAUAACAAGAAGGAUGUAAUGUUGUGGCAUAGAAGAUUAUCUCAUGCUUUUACAAAGUCAAUAAAGAAUGUAUUUGGCUAUGCUUUAGAUGAUUGUAAAUCAGUACUAAACAAUUGUGACAUAUGUCCAUUAACUAGAUAUACUAGAUUUCUUUUCCCAAGCAGUGAUACUAGAACAACUAAGGCAUUUGCUUUGUUACAUUUGAAUGUAUGGGGUCCCUAUAAGACUCAAACUUUUGAUGUGAACAGGUUCUUUCUGAAAGUUGUUGAUGAUUCCUCCAGGAUCAUUUGGA